rnacentral:rRNA from 1 species
CCUACGGGUGGCAGCAGUGGGGAAUAUUGCACAAUGGGGGAAACCCUGAUGCAGCGACGCCGCGUGAGUGAAGAAGUAUUUCGGUAUGUAAAGCUCUAUCAGCAGGAACGAGACAAGACGGUACCUGACUAAGAAGCCCCGGCUAACUACGUGCCAGCAGCCGCGGUAAGACGUAGGGGGCAAGCGUUAUCCGGAAUCACUGGGGGUAAAGGGAGCGUAGACGGCUGAGCAAGCCUGAAGUGAAAGGCGGGGGCCCAACCCCCGGACUGCUUUGGGAACUGUACGGCUGGAGUGCAGGGGAGGUAAGUGGAAUUCCUAGUGUAGCGGUGAAACGCGUAGAUAUUAGGAGGAACACCAGUGGCGAAGGCGGCUUACUGGACUGUAACUGACGUUGAGGCUCGAAAGCGUGGGGAGCAAACAGGAUUAGAUACCCUUGUAGUC